AAGGGGCCUGGUUGCUUAGCAAUGUGUAUCGGUGAAGGUUGUAGCGCUAGGUGUGAGGGAAUGUCGUGUGAAGCUAGAUGUAGGGGAGAAAAUUGUGAAGCUGGCUGCCGCAGUUUUUCAUGCAGAUUCCUUCAAAAUGGCGUUUAUCAGCAAGGAGGAGGCUCUUGGGACCAACAUUAUCCACAAUAUGACACUCAAAAUAUAAAACAGAGUCAAUAUAAUA